rnacentral:rRNA from 1 species
UACGUAGGGUGCGAGCGUUAAUCGGAAUUACUGGGCGUAAAGCGUGCGCAGGCGGUUCGUUAAGUCAGUGGUGAAAGCCCGGAGCUCAACUCCGGAAAUGCCAUUGAAACUGUGAAACUUGAGGAUGAGAGAGGUGAGUGGAAUUCCCAGUGUAGAGGUGAAAUUCGUAGAUAUUGGGAAGAACACCGGUGGCGAAGGCGGCUCACUGGCUCAUUACUGACGCUCAGGCGCGACAGCGUGGGGAUCAAACAGG